rnacentral:rRNA from 1 species
UACGAGGGGGGCAAAUGUUGUUCGGAAUCACUGGGCGUAAAGGGAGCGUAGGCGGGUUUCUAAGUCAGGUGUUUAAUCCCGGGGCCCAACCCCGGACAGGCACUUGAAACUGGGAAUCUUGAAUAGUGGAGAGGUCAGUGGAAUUGGGGUGUAGCGGUGGAAUGCGUAGAGAUCCCCAAGAACACCAGUUGCGAAGGCGGCUGACUGGACACAUAUUGACGCUGAGGCUCGAAAGCAUGGGGAGCAACAGG